UACGUAGGGUGCGAGCGUUGUCCGGAAUUAUUGGGCGUAAAGAGCUCGUAGGUGGUUUGUCGCGUUGUCCGUGAAAACUCACAGCUCAACUGUGGGCGUGCGGGCGAUACGGGCAGACUGGAGUACUGCAGGGGAGACUGGAAUUCCUGGUGUAGCGGUGGAAUGCGCAGAUAUCAGGAGGAACACCGAUGGCGAAGGCAGCUCGCUGGGACGGUACUGACGCUGAGGCGCGAAAGCGUGGGGAGCGAACAGG
rnacentral:rRNA from 1 species